GUUUUGACAGAGAGCGAAGAGGAGGAUUUCCCUCGAGCGGUGGUGGCGCCGAUUCAGACAGUUGGAGCAGAAAAUCUGAAGGGGCUAGAGGUGGAAUUGGUGAGAACGGUGGUGGGGCAGAUUCGGAAAAUUGGGGCAAAAAAUCUGAAGGGGUUAGAGGUGGAAUUGGUGAGAGGCCGAGGCUUAAUCUGCAGCCUCGUUCAAUCCCUUUGAACAAUGGGAAUCAGGAGGCUUCUGGUGCUGCAGCAAAGCCAAAGGGUUCCAAUCCUUUUGGGAAUGCAAGACCAAGGGAACAGGUAUUGGCUGAAAAGGGGCAAGACUGGAAGAAGAUUGAUGAGCAACUCGAAUCAAUGAAAAUUAAGGAUACGGUGGAGAGAACCGAGAAAUCUAGUGGGGCUUCGUUUGAGAGAAAAGGCUUUGGAGUUAGAAGUGGUCGGUCUCCCGAAGAUCGGUCAGUAAGGAGUUGGAGGAAGCCAGAGUCUGUGGAGUCUCGUCCCCAAAGUGCUGACGUGGUUGAAGAUGGACCUGCUGAGGAUUGAAGACGCUAUUCUAUGCAAUUGAUACUAAAGUUGAAAGAAUUAAAUUGCUGAUGCGUAGUGUUGAAGUUUGCUGAUAUUCAUUAUUGAAAGCUCUUGAAUUAUUCACUGUG
rnacentral:misc_RNA from 1 species